AGAACACCAAAAACACGAUGCCCAUUCCACUGUAUAACCUUCCCUCCUGCAGCUUCAAUUCUUGCAUAUUCAUCUUCUCGAUUUGGCUUGUGAUCCACUGAUAAUGCCAUGGGUUCUUUCCCACGGCACAGAACAGCCCUUGAAUCACCACAGUUUGCUACUAUAAUGUGCGAUGAACAAACAAUGGCGACAACAGCCGUGGAGCCUACAGUUUCUGGGGCAACAGCCUCGCGAUUUCCACCCCCUCCAAUCUCCUCAUCAACCUUGAGAAAACAGUUGGUAAAUGCAUUUUUCCAUUGGUCCUGACAAUUUUGUCUAAUACUUUCAUCAUUGAGAUUAGCCAUAAUGGUUUCCAACUCCUCAGCCAAUACAGCAUGAAUCCGG
rnacentral:misc_RNA from 1 species